rnacentral:rRNA from 1 species
AGGACGAACGCUAGCGGCGUGCUUAACACAUGCAAGUCGAGCGGUAAGGCCUUUCGGGGUACACGAGCGGCGAACGGGUGAGUAACACGUGGGUGAUCUGCCCUGCACUUCGGGAUAAGCCUGGGAAACUGGGUCUAAUACCGGAUAUGACCUCCUAUCGCAUGGCGGGUGGUGGAAAGAUUUAUCGGUGCAGGAUGGGCCCGCGGCCUAUCAGCUUGUUGGUGGGGUAAUGGCCUACCAAGGCGACGACGGGUAGCCGACCUGAGAGGGUGACCGGCCACACUGGGACUGAGACACGGCCCAGACUCCUACGGGAGGCAGCAGUGGGGAAUAUUGCACAAUGGGCGAAAGCCUGAUGCAGCGACGCCGCGUGAGGGAUGACGGCCUUCGGGUUGUACACCGUCUUUCAGCAGGACGAAGCGCAAGUGACGGUACCUGCAGAAGAAGCAACGGCUAACUACGUGCCAGCAGCC